rnacentral:rRNA from 1 species
GAUAAACGCUGGCGGCGUGCCUAAUACAUGCAAGUCGAGCGAACGGACGAGAAGCUUGCUUCUCUGAUGUUAGCGGCGGACGGGUGAGUAACACGUGGAUAACCUACCUAUAAGACUGGGAUAACUUCGGGAAACCGGAGCUAAUACCGGAUAAUAUUUUGAACCGCAUGGUUCAAAAGUGAAAGACGGUCUUGCUGUCACUUAUAGAUGGAUCCGCGCUGCAUUAGCUAGUUGGUAAGGUAACGGCUUACCAAGGCAACGAUGCAUAGCCGACCUGAGAGGGUGAUCGGCCACACUGGAACUGAGACACGGUCCAGACUCCUACGGGAGGCAGCAGUAGGGAAUCUUCCGCAAUGGGCGAAAGCCUGACGGAGCAACGCCGCGUGAGUGAUGAAGGUCUUCGGAUCGUAAAACUCUGUUAUUAGGGAAGAACAUAUGUGUAAGUAACUGUGCACAUCUUGACGGUACCUAAUCAGAAAGCCACGGCUAACUACGUGCCAGCAGCCGCGGUAAUACGUAGGUGGCAAGCGUUAUCCGGAAUUAUUGGGCGUAAAGCGCGCGUAGGCGGUUUUUUAAGUCUGAUGUGAAAGCCCACGGCCCAACCGUGGAGGGUCAUUGGAAACUGGAAAACUUGAGUGCAGAAGAGGAAAGUGGAAUUCCAUGUGUAGCGGUGAAAUGCGCAGAGAUAUGGAGGAACACCAGUGGCGAAGGCGACUUUCUGGUCUGUAACUGACGCUGAUGUGCGAAAGCGUGGGGAUCAAACAGGAUUAGAUACCCUGGUAGUCCACGCCGUAAACGAUGAGUGCUAAGUGUUAGGGGGUUUCCGCCCCUUAGUGCUGCAGCUAACGCAUUAAGCACUCCGCCUGGGGAGUACGACCGCAAGGUUGAAACUCAAAGGAAUUGACGGGGACCCGCACAAGCGGUGGAGCAUGCGGUUUAAUUCGAAGCAACGCGAAGAACCUUACCAAAUCUUGACAUCCUUUGACAACUCUAGAGAUAGAGCCUUCCCCUUCGGGGGACAAAGUGACAGGUGGUGCAUGGUUGUCGUCAGCUCGUGUCGUGAGAUGUUGGGUUAAGUCCCGCAACGAGCGCAACCCUUAAGCUUAGUUGCCAUCAUUAAGUUGGGCACUCUAAGUUGACUGCCGGUGACAAACCGGAGGAAGGUGGGGAUGACGUCAAAUCAUCAUGCCCCUUAUGAUUUGGGCUACACACGUGCUACAAUGGACAAUACAAAGGGCAGCGAAACCGCGAGGUCAAGCAAAUCCCAUAAAGUUGUUCUCAGUUCGGAUUGUAGUCUGCAACUCGACUACAUGAAGCUGGAAUCGCUAGUAAUCGUAGAUCAGCAUGCUACGGUGAAUACGUUCCCGGGUCU